UUGUUUUCUGCUAGAUCAUGGCUUACCAAAGGUUUAUUUCUGUCGACUUUGAGUUGUGUGGAAAUGUACAAGGUGUUGCUAUGAAACCAGUGAGUAAAAUUACAUACAAUACUAGCUGAGAGUCUACUAGCUGAUACAGUUCUGUCAAAUAUACGCCAUUGUGGAUUAACUUGAUCUGCAUUGCAAAGCUCACUUCAUUGCACCAUGUUAUUUUCUUUUUCAGUACACUUAUGUGGAGGCAAAUAAGCUUGGUAUUGUUGGGAAGAUGAUGAAUACAGAGAAGGGGACCAUUAGAGGGACCAUCCAGGGCAGCAGACCACAGAUCGAGAACAUGAAGAAUUAUCUGGUAUGUAGAGGAAGUCCCUACUCUUCUGUCUCCAAGGCAACCUUUACAAAUGAACAUGAAGUGGUCCACAGAGAAUAUUCUAAGUUCACCAUUGAUCCAACAGACUGGUAGACAGCGACUACAGAGGGAAACUUCCCGAUAUGUUGAUGUUUGGAUUGAGAUUUGCACAGUAUUAUAGAGUCUUUCACUUGUUUUGUUACAGCUUUUUUAUUUGAAUGCUAUAUAUCAGUAUUAAUAUUUUUGUUGAAUUUAUUGCUCAUUUGUUUUAUACUUGGCUAUUCUUAUACAUGUUCUAUUAUGUACUGUUUUGUAUCUAUCUAUGGUUGUGACAAUAAAUUUUUCAAU
rnacentral:misc_RNA from 1 species